AAAUUAAAUGUACUUUUUGAAAGGAUUUGGCCAAAGCAUUCAGUUUCUUUACUUGGUGGAAAGAACUUUUAGGCCACAGCCAUCCUUUAAUUUCAAAUACCUUGGCUACAACUAUAAAGAGGGUAUGCUAGACUAGAUUUUAAUCAUCUAAAAGGUUAUGGGCUAGAGAACAAGGGGUGCGUUUGGUAAAUAAGAUUAGAAUGAAGGUAAAUCAUGUUAUCAUAUAUAUAAAGAUUCGAAAAUUUUGAGGAAAAGAAAAUGCAAAAGGAAAAGUAAAAGAAGAUAAAAAUAGAUUAAAAAUUGAUAAAUUAUUUUUAUCUGUUACUUUAAAUUUAUUUUACUUAUUUUAACUUAUUAAUAUAAAGAUUAAAUAAUUUAAAAAUACAUGAGCUUUUAACUGGUUUUAAUUUUAUUUGAUUUUCUUUAAUAUUUUUCAUAAGACAAUCAAACAUGAAAACAUCAUUUUCUUUUGUAAUUUUUUUAUUUUCUUAAUAUUUUCUGGGAUCUAAACGUAACCGAAAUGAAUUAAAAUCAUAAGGAAAAUGAGUUAUGAUUUUCAUAUUCCUUUUUUAUUUUAAAGUCCUCCAACGCAUUAAUAAAUGAUAAUAAAAUUGAUGUCAUUUUUAUUCUCUAUUUCAUGGUUACUAUUUAGAAAGAUGAGUAAGAGUUGUACAAAGUUUGGAUGAAAGGGAAUCUGAGGGUGGGAAUAUAUCCCCAAAUUAUAAAUUGUGAGUGAAAGUGAAGGUCAGUAGUUCCCUUCAUCUUUGGAUGUUGUUGCUGACAUCAAUAUCAAUAUCAAUAUCAAUUUGGCACAAGAAUCUCUCUUUUUAACACAUCAAUCAGUGGUGUAGCCGUGUAGCCCACUUUUCCAUUAACCCUCCACCAUGAUGCUUUAUGUUUGUAUGGUAAUGCAGCUCCCAUAACCUUUAGAGAUUGGACCAAACACAAACUAGUGUUUUUUAAGUCUGAGUGCAACCAUCCCCAACACUUUGAGACUCAUGGCUCACAGGCGUUGGCAGGUCCCAUGGUUGAAUUAAAUUUGUCUAUGCUUUUUUGAAUAUGAUGCCAACCGUUGACCCAUACACUCUGGCAGAAUACUUCCAAUGAGAAAUCAGGAAACCCCUCCCCACACUGAGAAAAAUCAAAUAAAAUUGGUUGGAAAAAACUUGGAAGUCCUUUUUCAAAUCUUGCCUUUUGCCAAGCCUCUCAAUUUCUAACAGGUAACAACGACCCACCCAGGGGGCCAGAGACCAAAUUCGCUGUGUACCUCUUUACUGGUUAGAAUGUUUUGUCAUGGUGACUGAAAAAUUAAGAUGGCAAAGCUGAAUGAUAAGAUAUAACAUAACACUGCUCCUAAUUAGCUCUAUAAAUACAUCAUUCGUGAAUGAAUACAAUCUAAAUUUCACAUCAUUAACUCUUUGUUUCUUUAAUUGCCAUCAACUUGUAACACCUUAGAUGACAACUUGUUAUCACUUGAGAUUGGAUCCUUGAGUUUUUUUUUCUGCAACAUGAGGUAAUAAAUGCAUGGUAACCACUUAUUCAUCCCGGUGAAAGAGUUAGUGAAACAAAGACAGAUGAUCUUAGCAUUAAAGGGGAAGGGAGAAGAUGGAGUGAUGAUUGGCAAGCAAAGAGGGCUAGGCAAAGGGUGUCCAAACAGUUGCACAUGAGACUUUCAAAUUUCCAAUUAAUGCCCCACCAACUUAUAGGGGGUCCGAAGUCCACAGGAACCAUACCCACACAAAAGAACAAGACAAACAAGCAAACAAAGCACAAGAGGAAACCCCCACCAUGUUUUCUGGCUUUCCUAUUUUCAUCACUCACUCUCUCUCUCUUUCUUUCUUUCUUUUGCUUUUCUUUUCUUCCAUCAUCACAAGUCCCACUUCCCCCCCCCACUCCCACCUUCACUUUCUCAUGUUCCCAUUGAUUACAGUUUGGUCUCUUUUCAGUCAAACGGCGACCUCUAAAAAGAGUUUUGGAUUCAUAGAAAGAACAACCACCUUUGCAUGAUAACCUUUACAUCAAUUCAACCUUGUAUUAAUGGGAGAACCCUGAAAACCCAAAUGGGUCAUCCCCAAUUUUUAUGGAUCUCAAUUAAACAACUUCCUCCUCCUGUUAAGAUUUUCCUCCAAUUGGGUCAAGGCUACAUACAGUACAUCAAACCAAGUCAUCCCCAAAUUCUUGCCUGACUAUAUAGAAAGAUCUCAAAUGGAAGAGUCAAAUGGCUCAGUGAGUCAGUUUCAUCUCCAAGAUGGACAUGCUCUUGAUUUCAAAGGCUCAGUGAGCCUGCCUGUACAAGCCUAAUACCAUAAUGGUAAUGGUACAAAAAGCAAUUCAAGCUUGCAAUAGAAACCCGAAUCCCAAAGAACGUUCUCUUAAUAUGGAGAAAAAAAUCUCAUCUCAUAGACAAUAAUAUCCAAGAGGCUAUCUUGCUUGAUAGUAGAAAAAGACCUUAAAUGGGAUAAUGACACUAAUAGGUAGAAGCUUAUUUUUCAUUAAUGAUGAUAGAUCCACAGCAUGCCCUUAAAAAGUUGAGAAACAGUAACCCAAUAGCAUAGAGAUAAAGGUACAAAGUAUGAAUGAUUAAGAUAAAAAAAAAAAGGGGUGGAGAGUGCUUACAAGUCAAGCACAUAGAAUGCCCUGCCUGCCUUGGGCAUCUUUUCCCACAGGCCCUUUCAUCAAUCAGAAAGACAACAAAAGGGUCAAGAUUCCUUGCCCAUUUAUCUACUCUUUCUCUCUUUCUUUCUUCCACAGCUAGCUUAGCUCAGUUGCUUUGCCCACUGCUACACACUUUCCCCAAUUCAUAUGCACUUCUUACAAAGCUUAUUAAUUCUGUAAAGUAAAUGCAACUGAAUUGGAUCUCACUCAUUCACUCAUUGAUUGAGAGAGAGAAUUCUCAUUUCUCAUAUAUUUAUAUAUAUAUAUGCAUAGUAGUUCGUGAAAAUUUGAAAAAUAAAAUAAAAUAAGGGAACACACCUCUCGGGAUUUUCAGCUUCCUCCUCAUGGAUCGAACCACUCUAUGAUAAUUGAUAAAUAAGACCAAAAAUAGAAGGGCAAGAUUUUGAAUUUAAUCUUCCAUUAUUUGGAAAUUUAGUGAAGGGAGAAAGAAGGAGAAGAAGCAAAAGGAUGCCAUUGAAUUGGUCCAAAUAAAUAAUUGAGCUUUUCAUUGACCAGAAAACAACACGGCAUACAACACAAGUAAUUAAUAAGACACAAAAAAUUUCUUUUUCUUUUCUUUUUUCAUCAGAUUUUUCUCGGCAACCAAACAUAACCCAAGGAAAAAAAAGAAACAGAGAUCAAAUUUUACAAUUCUCUCCAAAUAUCCCAUUACAAAUUGAUCAUUUUCCUCGUGAAUGCCAAUAUUAUAUUCUUACAUAAAAUCAGCGUAAAAAUUAUUCAAGAAGAAGUCGAAGAACCUGGAACUCUGGGGGAAGUCACCGGAAACAGAGACAAAAGCCGAGGCUCGGAGUCCCUCGGGGUCGUAGCCGGCGAUGGAUGCAAGAAAAAGCCUUUCUCUGCGAUCGCCUUCUCCUCAGCUUCAGAAUCCAAAUUUGCAUUAGCAGAAGCAGAAGAACUACAAGAAUUCAUGGGAGAUCUAUUAAACGGGUCAGGUAUCAACGGCGUCACCGGACUUAAAACCAGAGCCGGAAAAUCAAGCAUGCUAGGAGAGAGUAUCUCGGGCUUCCGCGGCGAAAACCCCGAAUUGUUCUGAACAAACCCAGGUAUGAGAGGACUGAGCUUGAGGUUCUUGAGGCUGUUCCUCCUCUCGUAGAGCUUGAACCCUGGUUGCUUCUUGGCCCCCGUUUUGAUGGGAGGAAUAUGGGUCCUCGGAUCGGAGACUGGUUUGGAAGCCGAGGCCUGUUUGGCUGUCUCAGAGGAUCCGGUGAGCAUUUGGACCACUUGCUUGAAGGAGGAGGUGUCUGCUUGAACGAAGGUUGUCGGGUAAGGAUUCGAUUCGGAUCGGGUAAUAGGUUUGGGAGUUGGCGGGUGGUGGAGUCCAUUGCUGUUGCUGCUACUGCUGCUGCUACUGUUGGUGCUGUGGCUGUUUGGAGAUGGUAUGAGACUUGGGUUCUGCCCUUCCAGAGGUUUUGGCGAGUUUUCCGUUGAUGGGUCUGUCUNNNNNNNNNNNNNNNNNNNNNNNNNNNNNNNNNNNNNNNNNNNNNNNNNNNNNNNNNNNNNNNNNNNNNNNNNNNNNNNNNNNNNNNNNNNNNNNNNNNNNNNNNNNNNNNNNNNNNNNNNNNNNNNNNNNNNNNNNNNNNNNNNNNNNNNNNNNNNNNNNNNNNNNNNNNNNNNNNNNNNNNNNNNNNNNNNNNNNNNNNNNNNNNNNNNNNNNNNNNNNNNNNNNNNNNNNNNNNNNNNNNNNNNNNNNNNNNNNNNNNNNNNNNNNNNNNNNNNNNNNNNNNNNNNNNNNNNNNNNNNNNNNNNNNNNNNNNNNNNNNNNNNNNNNNNNNNNNNNNNNNNNNNNNNNNNNNNNNNNNNNNNNNNNNNNNNNNNNNNNNNNNNNNNNNNNNNNNNNNNNNNNNNNNNNNNNNNNNNNNNNNNNNNNNNNNNNNNNNNNNNNNNNNNNNNNNNNNNNNNNNNNNNNNNNNNNNNNNNNNNNNNNNNNNNNNNNNNNNNNNNNNNNNNNNNNNNNNNNNNNNNNNNNNNNNNNNNNNNNNNNNNNNNNNNNNNNNNNNNNNNNNNNNNNNNNNNNNNNNNNNNNNNNNNNNNNNNNNNNNNNNNNNNNNNNNNNNNNNNNNNNNNNNNNNNNNNNNNNNNNNNNNNNNNNNNNNNNNNNNNNNNNNNNNNNNNNNNNNNNNNNNNNNNNNNNNGUAAAACCCAUGACAGUAUCCCACUCCCCACACAAGCGCGUGUAGAAAGAGUAAGAUGUAACAGCCCCAAGUGGUAACAUGCCAUUGGUGCUGUUUGGAAUAUAAGACCAGAUGAGAAGGGAGGUGUGGGUGUGGGAGUGAGGAAAUAGUCAAAAAGAGUUCAAUGUUUGGCAUUGACUAGAAGGGCCCUUCAUCUUGGCUGACUCUGCCAUAAUAUCAUAUGCCCUUGUUUCUUAUGUCACCCAUUUUCAAUCUCUACAACUUCAUCUCAUAUUUUAAAUGCCAUGUUAUCAUACAAAAAGUUUAAGUUUUAAGAUCACUCCUACUUCAAUAAAAUGAUACCAUCUCAAACUCAUUAUAGUUUGAUGGACCAAAUCGAAGCAAUGGGUUGUAAGUCAGUCACCCACAAGAACUUUACCCCUUCUCCUACAUAUUUUUCAACUACUAAUUCAACAUAUGCAGGAUUGCAUCAUCUAUUUUUCCAACAAGAGAUUGUAUUUCACGCAUAAAUUCCAUUAAUCCCAGUAAAGGUAUGCUUUUAAAAUCGAAGGAUGCACUGAGAGAGUAGGACAAGUAUUUAGAAUUUGUACUAAAAUGGGGGUGGGGGUGUCCUUUUAUAGUCGUUCUUUUUGAAGUGGAGAGAAAAAAGGCUAAGGCUAAAUGGCAAGCCUUUUGAACUAUACCAAUUUAGAGAGGUGAGAGAUGAGAGAUGCAAUCUUGAUUAGUGCACCAUACAGCUUUCCCACAAGUCAAACAUGCAUAUUGAUAUAUGCCCACUUUCAAAUUGACACUAAAUGGGAUCUUUCUAAGGGGGAAAAAAAAAAGUGAAAAUGAGAGGUGAAUCAAAUUCUCAUUUCUAAAAUGAAAGCAANNNNNNNNNNNNNNNNNNNNNNNNNNNNNNNNNNNNNNNNNNNNNNNNNNNNNNNNNNNNNNNNNNNNNNNNNNNNNNNNNNNNNNNNNNNNNNNNNNNNUGUGGGUGUGGGAGUGAGGAAAUAGUCAAAAAGAGUUCAAUGUUUGGCAUUGACUAGAAGGGCCCUUCAUCUUGGCUGACUCUGCCAUAAUAUCAUAUGCCCUUGUUUCUUAUGUCACCCAUUUUCAAUCUCUACAACUUCAUCUCAUAUUUUAAAUGCCAUGUUAUCAUACAAAAAGUUUAAGUUUUAAGAUCACUCCUACUUCAAUAAAAUGAUACCAUCUCAAACUCAUUAUAGUUUGAUGGACCAAAUCGAAGCAAUGGGUUGUAAGUCAGUCACCCACAAGAACUUUACCCCUUCUCCUACAUAUUUUUCAACUACUAAUUCAACAUAUGCAGGAUUGCAUCAUCUAUUUUUCCAACAAGAGAUUGUAUUUCACGCAUAAAUUCCAUUAAUCCCAGUAAAGGUAUGCUUUUAAAAUCGAAGGAUGCACUGAGAGAGUAGGACAAGUAUUUAGAAUUUGUACUAAAAUGGGGGUGGGGGUGUCCUUUUAUAGUCGUUCUUUUUGAAGUGGAGAGAAAAAAGCUAAGGCUAAAUGGCAAGCCUUUUGAACUAGACCAAUUUAGAGAGGUGAGAGAUGAGAGAUGAGAGAUGCAAUCUUGAUUAGUGCACCAUGCAGCUUUCCCACAAGUCAAACAUGCAUAUUGAUAUAUGCCCACUUUCAAAUUGACACUAAAUGGGAUCUUUCUAAGGGGAAAAAAAAAAAAGUGAAAAUGAGAGGUGAAUCAAAUUCUCAUUUCUAAAAUGAAAGCAAAUGCUGUGGAAAGUAGAAGGGGGAAGGGACCACAUUUCAUCAAGUCCUACACUUCUUCGGGAAAAAAAGUGAUGAUCUAAGGAUCAAAACAUGUAUUAUUAUCAUUAUUAUUAUUAUUGUUGUUGUUGUUAUUGUUAUAAUAUUGUGUAAGUUUUUUCAGGGUCCAAGUCCAAGUGAUGAUAUAAUGAGAUGGACUCCAACUUUAUUGAAAAACCCUAGAUGCCGCCACUCAAGGCAACUACCAUGAAUUAGAAAUCGUGGGGAAAAAAAUAUCAAGAAAUAAAAUUCUCAUGGCAAAAUGGGAUAUCAAUUGAUGGGAAUGGUGAGGAUGAUAUUUAUGAAUUGGGUAUGACUUCUACGAAGCUUCCCAUGGAUAUAAAAAAAGGUCCACAUUAUGACUUGUUGCAAUUUUCUUAGACCAGAAGCCAGCAGACAAGUCCCAGCUAAUGGUUUUUCUCGUGUAUGUAUGCUGUGUGCUUCCAGGAAAUCCUGUGCGGAUCUUUGAGUUUGGGUCAAUUUUUUCUGGAUUUUUGGACUACAUGGCGGGACUUGAAUGGUAAGCUUAUUUGGGCCUUUUGCUUUGACAUGCUAUGCUCCUUACAAUUGAUUGUCUUUUGAUGGCUAGUGAAAAUUGCCCCAUGAAUUGAACGUAUCUUGAACUUAUUUAUGGUUGUUUUUGUCUUUUUUAAUUAGACAAAAGAUAUUUUCCUUGUACCAUUAAUUUCUAAAGCUGCUUUCAUUGUCCAUUAAAUAUCCCACAUUCUUUUUCUUUUGAAUAGUAUAUUUACUUACCUUAGCAAGGCUCUUUCAUUUGGGUUGAUAAAUAUUAUUGUUGAUGCAUUAUAUUAGUUUGACAAUUUUAUUCUAUUAUAAUAUUAAAUUGGACGUAGAGGAUUUUAUGGGCUGGAAUCGAGUUUGAGCUAAUUCAGAGUUGAUUCAUAUUCAAGCUAUAUAUACAUUGAAUGUAUUAGAGAAUAAGAAAGGAUCAUUCCAUGUGUAUUAGGUAAAAUUUUGGAAGGACUAUCGAAAAAUUGAGUCAAGUAUGCAAAUUGAAAUUUGGAUGUUUGAACAUCAUGCUUGGGGCAUUUAAAUGCCUAUAAGUGAUCAAACGUCAUGUUAGUGGGCAUUCAAAUGUCUCAUAUAGGCGUUCACAUGUUAUUACCCCAACUUAAGUGGUGUUUUGGUAAUUUUAAUUUUUAAAAAUUCUUUUAAAAUAUUCUCCUAGGAUUUUGAUGUAAAAAUAGAAUUUUUUUAAAGUUGAAAAAUAAGUACAAGAAGAUAGUAAUCUCUUUACCUUGGUUCUCCUUUCAAAAAAUUUAAGUGGUAUUUUGGUAAUUUUAAUUUUAAAAUAUUCUCCUUGGGUUUUGAUGUAAAAGUAGAAUUUUCUAAAAUUGAAAAACAAGUACAAGAAGAUAGUCAUCUCAUUUUCCUAGUUUUCCUUCUGUCAGAUUUUUUAAGAGUAAUCUUAAAAAAAGUUUUGAUAAAAAGGAAGAUACAAUCUACUAAUCUAGAUAGAAGUUUGAGACAUUUGCUAAGAAAUAUGUGGUGCUACAUCGAGGAUGUGAAGGGUUAUUUAGAUGUUGAUUGAAAUUAGAUUCUUAGGAGCAGGGUAUACCAGGAUUCUUGCGUUUUUAAAUGGUAUUUUGAUAAUUUUAAUUUUAAAAAAUUCCUCUAAAAUAUUCUCUUAGGGUUUUGAUGUAAAAAUAGAAUUUUCUAAAGUUGGAAAACAUGUGCAAUAAGAUAGUCAUGUCUCUACCUUGGUUCCCCAUCUCUUAGAGUUUUCAAAACCAAUAUUGAAAGAAUUUUUGACAAAAUAGAAGGUACAACAAUUUGCUAGCCUUAAUAGAAGGUUGAGGCAUCCGCUAAGGAACAUGUGUUGCUAAUUGUGGACAUGGAAGGUUGUUUAGGUGUUGAUUGAUAUUGGAUCCUUGGGAGUAGCCACAUCAAGUCAGUUAAUACUAUGUACAACUUAUUUCAUUAAAUCGGCCUAUGGUUUUUUACACUCACUUAGUUUCUAACAGACUCUAUCAAUGGUUUAUCCAUAUAAAAUCAAUGUUAUUGUGUGUACUUGAUGUUUAACUAUACCCAUUAUUUGAAUCAUUGUUAUCAUUAAAACUUGGAUGAUAAAAUUUUGGCACAAAUUGUGUGGACUACCUAUGCAAUCCCCGACGCCCCAACCCUCGACAGUUGAACAUAAUAAAAAUUUAAAUUUAUCUAUACACAAAUAUAAAAUAUGUUUAAAUAUUUAAAUAACAUCUUUGGAAACUAGUAUAAAUUUUAAUAAUUAUUCCUCCACCACAAAAAUGUUCAUUCAAUCCACAAAGUUUUAAGAAUCAAAACCUAAACCUUAAAUGCCAUAUUUAUAUAUUCUUCUAUAAAUCUUCUUUCUUGAUUAUAUAUCUUUUUAUGUAACACUUGUAAUAUUAAGUAAAAUCUUAUCAUCGGUUUAAAAGAAAUAAAAUAAAACUAACAAAUAAGUUAUUAAAAAAUCAUAAUACAAUAAGAGUUAAAUAAAAUACAUUUUUCCAACCAAACAAAAUAAUUUAAUUUAUGUAAUUAUAUAAAUAAUUGAAUAUUUCAUUUGAACUAAACUAAAUCUUUUUUAUACUCUUGUAACAUAAAUAUUUAUGUUACAAGUUGUUUUUUACUAAUAAAAAAAAUUAUAGUACAAAUAUUAUUCAAACUAUACAUAACUAAUUUUAAUCCAUGUAUAUUUCAUUAUCAAAUUGAGUUUUAUUUUUACUUUUUUACAAUUAUACUGAAACUCAUUUCUCUAAUUCCUUAAAGAGAAGUUAAAAGCUUAUAAUCAAGAUCAUAGUUAAACUAAAAUCGAUUAACUAAUAUUUCUACUAAAUUAAUAUCCGAAACAAAUCUAAGUGAAAGAGUGAAGGAGCUAUGUCUUCAAGCAUUGAAAUCUUUUUCAACAAAAAGGGAAACAAUAGAAAGAAAAGAUUAGUGUUAACUAAUGCAAAUUGUACACCAACAACUUAUUGGUAAAUAAUAAAAGUUUAAUAAUAUAUAGAGGAGAAUUGGUUGAAAAUUUCUUAACUCCAUAACACUUCUUAGAUUACCAAACUCAAUCUGAGUAACCAAAAAAGAAAAAAAGAAAAAAAAAAUUAGCAACAAAAAAAAAAAUGUAACUUUUAAAUUAAAAGUUUAAAAAACUAAAGAGGCAAGACAUUAGGACAAAGAAAAGGACCAAAAAAAAAGGGUAGGUCUAACUAAUACAUACAAUAUAUCAAGCUACCAAUCAAAAUGGAACCCCUAAAUUUGUUGAAAAUGUUAUUCUCAUUAACCAUUAAGAAAAUAUGAUUAAAAGAUAAAAUAUUGUCCAAUAAUUAAAAAAAAAUUACAAAUUUCAUUAGUUUAGGAAUUAAACCCUCCUUACAGGGAAUAUAAAAUGCACAUAUGUGACAUCUCACAUAAGAAUAUUUGGGUUUCUAAAUUCACACUUAUUUACAAUAUAAUAAGAAAUUAUAGAAAGGACAAGAAAGAAUUAUAAAUAUUUCAUUGUUCUUAAAAUAUACAAGUAGAAAUAGAAAUUAAAAAUCAAAUUUAAUUAGUAUUGUAUUAUAAAAAUUUAUGAAACUUUUAACUGAAUUAGAUCAUACAAAAUUAUGAUAUAUUUGAAUGUUAUAUUAAUAAUAUUUUAUGAUUUUUCUAUAAAAAUAAAUAUUGGAAGAGAAAUGAUAAAAUAUCUAUAAUUUAAAAAAUAUUAUGAUAAAAAUAAUAUAGGUUCGCCAUUAACUAUUAAGUGAUAAUUAAUAUCUUAUGAUAGUAAAUUAUGAAAAUUUUUAAAAAAUGAUGCAACAUCUAUUUUUUUUUAAAAUAUAUGCAAAUUUUAAAUCAAUUUUAUUAUUAUUAUUGCUAUUAUUAUUAUUAUUUGGCAAAAAUUAUGAGUUUUUUUUUUCUUAAAGAUAUGACAUUUUUAAAAAUCAUGGAUUUUUCUCUACAAAACUAUCAUAUGAGAAAUUAUAAAAAAAAAAACCCAUAUUUUUUUAUUUAUCAAAUUAUGAUUAAAAUAUAUUAUCAAUAUCAUACAACAAGACAAUUAAAUUUUAAAAAUAUUUUAGAAUACAUUAAUAUUUUAAAUAAUUUCUUCUAAAAAUGGAUAAAAAAAAAAAGUUGUUAUGAAAAUAAUAAAAAUAUUGAAAUAUUAAAAAUGUUAUGAUUAAAAAAUAUAUUCUCUUAUAAAUUGGUAUUUAUUAAUAUUGUAUAGAGUUAAAAAAAAAUCAUCAUUAUAUUAUCUUAUCCAUCUCCAUAUUAUAUAUAUAACCAUUAUAAAAAAAAUCAUACUCAUGACAAAUAAAUUAUUUUCAAUACAAUUAUGUAUAUUACUAUUUGUAUUGACUAGUAUCUAUUAUAAUAACACUAUUUUAUUGAAUAAUUAUUUUCAUUAAGAAAACCAAUCGCAAAAGGUUAUUUAAUUUUUUUUUUUAUAGAUAAAUCGCUUUUAUAACAAAGUAUGUUGGUUGAUUUGCAUGCUUAAAUCUAUCGCAAUAAUAUACCUUUUUUUUUUAAUAAUAGGCCAUUUAAUUUACGAUGAAGUAGAUAUGUUAGAAAUUUGCGGUUGCUUAAAUUUGACCCGUUAAUCUUCGUUUACUUACAUCCAUAGAAUUUUUAGAAAACUCUAUGGUUGAUUUUUCUCCUUUCAUCCAAUGUUCUUAUGUGUCCUUAAUGUCAACUAUAUUCAUUGUUGGAAUCAUUGCCAUUAUUAAAAUUCGAGUAACUAAAAAAUUGAAGUAAAUUACUUCAACUAUUAAUUCACCCCAGCAGAUAAUUUUGUACGUGGAUUCUUUUAUCUUGGGAAGAAGUUCAAAGAUGUGUCGAUGAAAAUGAUGAGAGGGAAAAAGUGAUGUUUCAUCAAAGGGGCUUUUCAAGAAGUGAAUUAAACAUGUGUCUUGCUUUUACAUCUCUCUCUCUCUCUCUCUCUCUCGUGCUCAGUUUCCUCACUUGGCCCUUUCAUGAUGCCAAUUGUACAAGUGAAAAAAAAAGCACUUUCGGUGGAGAAAUUUUUGUGGCCAACACUCUCAUUAUUUCAAUCAAAUUGCUCGUACCAUUAGCAUUGCAUGUCUUUCUUUUUCCUGUGUCUUUGACCAGUUUCUUGGUUUCCCUUUUGAUGAAGUUUCCGGUGAUCUUCUUUUCUUGAAUUUUGAUGAAAGAAGGUGAAGACUCGAGAGGACGAUUGAGCUUAGUUAGGCUUCCGUUUGGACAUAACCAGUGUUUGAAAUUAUUUUACGGGUGAAAACUAUUGUCUCUGUACUGUUCUUGGAGGACCUGGUUUUGUUGCAUACCACUGAAUUUCUGCAAUGGAACUUGUAUCAGACCAUUCUUGAAGUCUUGAACAGACCCUAAUGGGCUUUGGCCAUUGUCCACGACAACCAAUCUGGGCCAGGGGGCUUUCUGGUAGUCUGAUGAUGGAUGCGAGGGUGAUAAGGUGAACAUCGGAGGUCUUUUUUGCUUUAGUCGGUCAAUGGGUAUCAUUUCUCUUCUAUUUUCAUUUCAAAUUAGAAUAUUUAGUGGGUCAAGGAGUAACAUUUCUCUUGGACUUUCAUUUCAAAUCUUAAUAUUUUGUUCGAUUCAUGAGAAAAACUAAGAACAGAAAAACAAAUAUUGAGAAAUUAUUUUUUAAUGUUUAAUUUUAUUAUACAAAAUGUGAAAGAAAAUGAAAUAUAAUUAAAAUUUAUUAAAAAAUUAUGUAAUUUAAAAGAAAUACAAAAAAUAAAAAUUUAAAAUAAUAUAGAAAAAUAAUUGAUUAACUAAUCUAUUUUUUUCUUCUAUAUUUUAUUAUUUUUUCUUUAUAUAUUUCAUGAAUCAGAUAUAUUAGAUUUUUAUUUUUAAUAUAUAAAAAGAGACUGGAGUAUAGUUCCUAUAAAAAUUUGAUUGAAAAUGAGCUAUAAUAAUUUUUACAAUCAAAUUUUAUAAUAUAUUUAAAAAAAUUGACUUCUAAAUAAUAGACUUUAUCUUAUAAAUACUUUUUAUGUCAUUUUAUUUAUGUUCUAAUAAAAAUGAUAACAACUAUAAAUAUUUAAAUUUUGAGUUAAUUUUUAAAUAUCCUUCGUUAAUGACAGAGAAAAUAUCGUACGUUAAUAACAUAGCAUAAGAAAUGUUACUUUUUUUUUUUUAAGUUCAAAUUUUUUAAGUUGAAAGAGAGAGAAAGACGUGGAUGAAGGCAAUGAAGCACAGUUCACAAAUCGGUGGCAGUACAUUUCCAGUUCAAAUUAAAUUUCAAAACUCACCAGCCAAUGCACUGUUUGGCUACAAACUCUAGCGUUUUUCCCCAGGAAAAAAAGGUGUUUCCAUGUCAUGUCUGCCAUAAGUGACACAGUUGUUUUUUUGACCGUUAAUUUGCUUUGAAGAAAGAAAAGAGGAAAAGAUUAAAAAGAAGAAAGAUAAUUUAUUUAUUGAUAUAACAUGUAGAGAGAUAAGAUUUAUUGUCACGCAGACCUCUACAGUACAAUACAACGCAUGCAGUGGGGAAACCCAAAUUUACGGCACUACGAAACCCUAGAAAGCUGUAGCACAAAGUGAAGACAAGACUUCAGAUGAUCAGCGAGGGCACUCGACUUUUUUGGCAGGCUCAAAGGCAAAUGGUCCGACUGAGAAGGUAACAUAUGGAGGGGGUGGGAGCCCAGCAGGUGGCUUCUCGGGCCUCAGAAUCGCACCCUUCAAUCCGAAGUGAAGAUCAGUUGCUAGGUUGCAUGUAGGCGAGGAUGAUGAAAUUAGAGACACCUUGCACUUGUGGGCUCCAAACGUGGUUAUCUUCUUUGGGGCUUGGAUGAAGAAGUAGCCAUUUUUGUCUGUUUUGCCUAGUACGACGAGUGGGUACUUGGUGUUGUUGCAUUGUAGUUUCACAGUGGCACCUGUUUUCAUGACAAUCACAAAGCAUAGUGUCAGCAGCUAGAAAAAAGGACGAAAGCUUAUGUGUGUGCAUAUGCUUGGAAAUAUGCAUGCUAUGCAUGCAUGCAUCCAUCCAUCGAUCCAUUCAAACAUGUAAGCACAUAUUCGAGAUAAAACCCUAAAAGCAGAGAGGUUUUAAGUGGUGAAUAAGGUUCAGAUCUGAACUGAAAUGAGUAAAAAUGCAUAGGAUAGUAUGAGUUUGAGAUAUUAAAACGAACCCAAAAGUGGUGAAGCUCCCAAAAGGGUAUCAAUCCCUCUAUACUUGCAGGCCUUGCAGUAAACAACACCUUGCACAGCCACAAGACUCCUAGGGGGGAAAUGAAUUGGCGGGUGUGCGGGGGGAUGGCCAGGAGCAUGAACUGGUGGGCGAGUUGGAGGGUGCAUAGGAGGAUGAACUGGUGGGUGACUAGGGACAUGAACUGGUGGCUGAGUUGGAGGGUGGCUUGGAACAUGAACUGGUGGGUGCAUCGGAGGGGGGCUGGGAGGAUAAUGGGCGGGAGGGUGAUGCGGUGGGUGAGUGGGAGGGUGAACAGGAGGGUGAGUAGGGGGUUGGUGAUGGUGAUGGUGGUGGUGGUGGUGGUGGUGGUGGUGACUGGGAGCGGGGGCUUCUACCGGGGGGUAAGAGCCACCACGGUGGUGCGGUGGAAGCGCACCAUCGAUGAUAGCCUCAGCCUCUUCACCAAAAACAGUGGUGAAGCAGCUCAGCAAGAGCAGAGACACCACAAAACACCUCAUCUUUGUCUCUUCUCAGGACACAGCGAAGUGAGCUAGUAAAAGGAUUGAAUUUAUAGGAGUUGGGGCAGGAUUCUCUGAUAAAGAGCGAGUUUUAAAAUGGUGGACACCCACUCCAGCUGGGGCUUCUACCACACAAGCAGAGACUAGAAAGAAAACCGGAGAGGAGAGGAGAGGAGGUAAUUUUGAAAUAUAAAAAACAAAUUUUGGGGUUGCUUUUAAAAAAAAUGCUUUAGGGUGUAGUAGCGGUGCAGGAGAUAGACAAGUGGUGCACGGCUUCACAUGCAUGGGGGCAAGUAGCCUUUGGAUUUGGAAUUUUGCACAUAUUGCAAUGCUUUUUAAUGGAAGUUUCCAAUGCAUUCCUUGCUUUAACACCAAAUCCAGUUUUAAACCUUAAUUCUAAACCCAGUCCUUGCUGGAUGAGUCCAACGCAAGCAAUAGGGAGUCAGGGACUCUGUCCUUUAUUUAGUUGUAGAGUAGUACCCUACGGGUUUUUUAGGCCAAGUUUUCCUCCCCGGUCAGUCCCAUCUUGAAUGUCCUUGAAAUACGGCUCAACUUUAGCCAAAAUAUUAUUUAUUAUUAUUUUUCAUGCAUAUAAGGUUUGUUUUUUUCUGUGCCUGUUGCUUUAAGCUUUAUCAAUUUAGUGGUGUAAUACUUGAAACCCUAGGCGUGACAAUAUCCCAAAAUAACGCCAAUAUAUUGUAUUAACCCUUACGACUUCUGUUCGAAACUGUAAAACCUUAAAAAUAGGAGGGUAUAAAUGCUAUUAUGACAGAGUAAAGAGAUAUAUAAGCAAAAUUUACCAAAAACUGAAGCGUGAGGCGUGAUCGUGAAAGAUUUUGAGAGUGGGAACGUUGGAUGCCCACAAAAGCGGUCAAAAAAGGCCAUUGGUAAUUUAUAUUAAAAAAAAUCCAACGGCUGUGAUUUAAGAAAUGGAAUGGAUGAGACGUUGGGAUGAUGGGAAGGGGCAAGAAUGAUGAUAAACCAAUAAAAACCCACGUGGUAGAAGAGAGGAGAGGACCCUUCAAUUCCCCUAAAGUUGUGGCAUGUGGAGCCAGCUAUGAUCCUAUAUAUUAAAACAGUAUGGGCAUUGAUUAAGGUUGAUCUUAUGAUUUUGCCUCGUGGGUCGGGUUAAUUCAGUCAUUGACUUCACUCAUCGCCUAGCCAUUUUAUUAUUUCAUCGGAUCAAUCCUCUGGAUUCACCUCUCCCUUGCCUAAUUUACUAAUUUAAUUAAGCAUUUGUGAGCGCGACUUUGAAUUCUGCUCUAAAAUCAGGUGAGAUAGCUUCCUCGCAUUUGGACAAAAUCAAGUAAAAAAGAAAACUGCUUUACUCAGCAGCGAUCUCUGCCAGAAAGAAAAUUCAAAAAUGGAAAAGGGAGAGCGAGCGGUGGAGUUAAUUCCAGAAACUUCAUAUGUCAUCAGUGUGACAGCAGAGUGACUGGUGAAGCAUGUUGCAACUCAAGUCACUCCAACCGAAAAAGUGGGGAGUAAGGAAACAGUUCCCUACUGGAAUUAGAAUUAGAAUUUGAAUUUGAAUUAUGACAUGUUACCCACUAGAAAGUAGAACGGUCCUAUAAGAGAAUUAAAUUCAAAAUGGUCAUGAGAAAAACCCUCCUGAACUAACUCAAUCGAAGUUUAGUAGGAAACAGGUAUGAAAGGCUGAAAGGAAUAGAGUAUUUAUGAGUGGGGCGUGGGGCAAAGUGUUGAGGGUGAAAUUGAAAUGGCCUUGCCAAAGCAGUUUUGACAUUGGAUCAGCGCUGCUUGCAGUAACCCAAAAAAUAAAAAAUAAAAAAUUCAUGGAGUAGUGAGCAAGCUAGAUCCUCAUAUCACAUGCAUAUACCCCAACAGAUGGAUUUUGGAUUUUCCCUUUAUAAAAUCGAUUGAACAGCAUAUGCCCAAUGGUGUUCACAUUCUGGUCACACAUCCACCACAUCCUGUUCACAUUCUCCACCCUUUCACACACCAAGUCUAAAUUCUUGACAGUCCUUUCUUCCACAAAUUGCAUGCUAACUUCAUUUUUAGAGACUUGGCCAGAUAGCCACAAAUGUUACUCAUACAAAUAGCACUACAGCUCAUGCUUACUGCAAAGACAUUGAUUUAAACCCAACUCAAAUUAAGCAUAAUUAAUCCAAAUUCAACUCAACCCAACCUGAAUUAAAAAAUAAUCAAUCCAAAUCUAACCUAUCCCAACCCAAGUUACUCAGCCCAAACCCAACCCAACCUCUUUUUUUUUAAAGCUCCCACAGUCCAAAGUUUGUUUCAAACCCAAUCAAAUAUUAAAAAUGAUUGUCCAAGUUGCACCCCCAAUUCCAUUUGGAUUAAAAAACUUAACCCAAACCCAAUCAAAUAUUAAAAAUGAUUGUCCAAGUUGCACCCCCAAUUCCACGUACACUUCAAAAAUACCAAGUAAACUUCAUAUGGGUCAAGCCUAGCCCACUAAACUUGGAAGUCCUCAUAAAAUCAAAAUUAAGCUUUAAUGGAUUGUUAAAACAAAAUUCUCCAAUCUAAUUCUCAACAAUCAUCCUCCACCAUCCAAGUAAAACUGCAAGGAGAAAAUGGAGCUUGUUGAAAUAAGACAAUAGCUUAAAACAAAAUUUCAGAUUAAAUUUAGCACUCCUCAACAGGGAACUUGAGUUUUAAAUGUCUCCCUCCAUAGCUAGCUCUUUUUCAAUCCAUAUCCUGGAAAUUUAAGAUUAAAAUUUCAGUCAACACCAUAACAAAAAUUGACCAAAUAGAACAUUUAAAAAGUAUACACAAAAAAUGCAAUAAACUAAUAUGCAUGCUCUGUAAAAAUGCUCAAAAAAGGACUGGAGAAGCUAGUCAAAGUAACUAUCACACAUAGAACAUAUUGUGCCGUUCAGAAUGUUAGACUUCUGAUGAAAUUAUCCCGUGAGUUCAAGAGAUGAAUUAUUUAUGUUUCUGUUAGGAAUGUGACACUUGAAUUAAAGACAAAAUAAAGGCAAUUCUUUGGUCUUUGCAUUAUUUCCCACCCAGUGCAUCCCUUCAUAAAUUCAUGGAAGUAAAGUGCACCUCCAUACUCCUAACAUACUAUCAUGAAAGUGACUAUAACUGUUUUUAUUAAGUUUCAACAGACAUUUAGGCAUGCAAACCCCACCGUCUCAAGAUCUGUAAAGAUAGCCAUGAUUUUUUGCAGUAACCCAUUUGUGAUGAUUAAUUCAAGUAAACUAAACUAGUCUAUUCAGGACAAAAAAAAAAGAGCAUAUACUAUUUUCAAGCAAAGUUCAAACAUGCACAGUACUAUCACAUGCAUGCAUGGCGCCUGACACUGGGUUUAUAUUUCAAUCAGAGCAUGUCCCCACCGGUUAAAACAUUAAAUCUAAACCUGCCUAUCAAAAAAACAUUAAUCUAAAUAAAAGGUCUAGCCUUAAAUGUCACACUUUCUAUUGUUCAUUUAAAAUCCAAAUACAGCAUCAUGAUUUCCCAAUUAUCUCAUUCCCUGAAAUUAAUGCAAUUACUGCUCUUAUUUAAACAACCUAGCUUUCCAAUCUAGGGGCCAAAAAGAGUGAAACAAUCAAAAACUUCAUUUCCACCAAAGUGUUUUCAGGUCAAUGAGCUGAGCAAACCACCACAUCACACUCCCCCACCAUACCCAACCCCAAAUGCACCUCAUCUAACCUCAAACUAGUUGAUUUGCACAUCAGCUUGUCAAUGAAACAUAUAAAUUGUUGCUGGUUCAUUUUCUGACAAGCAUAUAGGGAUUGAGUUACAUUCAAGAAGUCACUAUAAUAUCGAAAGGUCCCCCAAAUAAACAAGGAGAAAAGAAGGUGGGAAAAAAAGAAGAAAACCAAAGCUUAAAUUAAUAAAAAACUUUGGCCUUUCACAAAAAUGGUUAUCUGGAGAGAAGAAGAACCUGACCAACCUAUUGAGAUCACACCUCCCACCACCAAUCAAAACCAAGUAAGUUGUACAUCCAAUAAUUGAGCUAAGAUUAAUGAUCAGUAAAAAGCUUUUAUAUUCUAUUUCUCAUUUAUUUCUUCCCUUUCCUUCAGACUGCAGCAUCUUUUUCCAAGGUAGAACUAUGGACAGCAGUAAUUAUUAUCCAAAUUUUAAUGGAAAUGGGAUCAGUAAUGCAUAACAUCAAUCCCUGUUAAAAUCAAUGACAGCAAUGCUUCUUUGAAGAAAAGAGGGAAUCAACAAAUACAAUGAGUGAUGGGGCUAUUGAAGAAAAGAGAUCCCUAUCAUCAACUUAAGGUAUCAUUCAAACUAAAAUAGAUUUAACUUAUUCAUCAGAUACAUAUCCAGUGAUACUCUGGGUUGCAUUCACCCAUAUCCAAAAGUUUGAGACGUGUUCCCCAUCCAUGCAGCAUUUGCUAAUUUUCAUGUAAUCACAUAAUCUUUUGAAAUGUGUUUUUAUGAUUUCUAAUUCAAUAUAUCUAGCAGUUGGACACUAGAAAACCAAAGGAAGAAAACCCAUUUUGAAUCCAACACGCUAACCUACAGAGACAGAAAAAAUACAUACGAAAAUGAAUUUUAUGGUUUCCAAUUCAUCUUGGACAUCAGUUGGAAUCAGUAGCAUGGGCACUAUAGAACUGAAGGAAGGAAACAUAUUUAGAGAUUCCAAUGAAAAUCUAACAAACCGACAUACACACAAAAAUGUACAUGCUUGAAAUGCAUUUUACAGUUUCCUAUUUCAUUAUUGAUAGCAGUUCAACUGUUGCAUCAUGGAGAAUGAAAACAACAAACAUAUAUAGGCAAUUCAAAGGAAAAUCCAACAAACCGACCACAAUGCAUGUACUUGUAUGGCGAUAGCAUAAAGCAUCAGUCUAGAGAGCUUAAAUGAAAAUCCAAUAAACUGACCCACAAACAUUCUUUCUUUCUUUUUGAUCAAUAAGCAGAAAAUUGUAUAGCAAAGAGGCGCUAAAGAAGCGACUCACAGAAUUAUAGUAUAAACAAACUCACCCCCUUACAAAAGGACCCAAACAGCAAGGAAAACACAAAAAAACUUUCUCCCUUAUGGCAAACACACCCAAUCUAUAAAAUCUAUUAAGGUCGAAAGACCAUCUUUUAUCUACAAUUUGGUUUCCAACCAAAGAAAAUACACAAAAGAAACUUUCAACUUUUGAAUGGACAACACACCGUCCUUAAAAGCAAUUGUAUUCCUAGCCUUCCAAAUGACCCAAAACAAGCAUAACAGUCUCAAUUGCCACGCCACCUUCCUCUUCUUGCCCACAAAAGAGCCCCUCCAUCCUAAAAGGGUUUUCUUUACUGAAUAAGGAAAGACCCAAGAAACUCCGAAAAAAGAGAGGAACAACGUCCACACUUCCCUUGUUCUUUCACAAUGAAGGAGAGGUGAUCAAUUGACUCCCCACACGUUUAGCAUAGAAAACACCUAUUUGCCAAAGCCCAACCCCUCCUUUGUAAACGGUCCAAGGUUAGAACUCUUCCCCAAGAAGCCUCCCAUGCGAAGAAACUUAUCUUGAGCCGCACAUAAGAAUUCCAAAUAAUCUUCAUAGGGAAUGAAGCAAUAGACACCGGCUGCAAAGCCCUAUACAACGAUUUUACCGAAAAAGCCCCAUCCUUUGAAUCCAUCCACCUCACCCUAUCCUCCUCAUCCACCCUAACCAUCUUCCCAUCCAAGCAACAAAGCAAUCUUCCCACUUCUUCCAUCUCCCAAUUAUUAAAAGGCCUAUUGAAACGANN
rnacentral:lncRNA from 1 species